UUGGUUUGUAUUAUUCUUAUCCACAUUGCAGCAAGAAUAACUGGAUAACUUAACUUUUCAAUAGCUAUUACAUGUAGAUCUAAUUUAAAUUAAUCAUGUUUCUAAAUCAUCCACUAAAUGCGGCUAAUUCUCCACUUGUUGGAAGUUUUUUGUGAUAAAAACUUGGAGUAGAUUUAUUUUACUCCCAAACUUCCUUUAAGAAAGCCCAACAGCUGUAGAGUGAUGGAAAAUCUACUUCUUUAAAGAAUUCUGUACAACUGUGGAACCAUGUAUGGUACGUGACCGCACAAUGUUGGUUGGCAAAAGGAUAUUGGAAUAAGCAAAGGGACUCAACAUUACACAGUCAUUUCAACUUGUCAGCAAUGAUGGAGCAGUACAUCAGAUUUCCAGAAUCUCGUCAUGAGCUGAAGAUCAUUGCCUAUGGAUUUCAUGAAUGAUGUAGAAUGAUUGGACUGUUGAUGGAACCCACAGUGCAUGUCCUGCUUCAACAUCUGAGCAUAGGUCCUUGUUUAUCAGCAGUUUAGUUCUUCAAGCAGUCUGUGACAGUAACUUGAAAUGUUUGGACAUAUGACCUGGAUGGCCAAGUUCUGUGCAUGAUGCCCAUUUAAAUAGGAACGGCCCAGUGGCGCAUUAAAUGGACAUUUUUCGAAUGUUCUCGAGGAUUCAGCUUACCGCCUGACAAGAAAUCUUGCUUUUUGUUCCGUAUCGAGGCCAUGGACAUUUGUAUCAUUUGCAAAAGAUACUGCGAUAUUUGUGCCUUUGUUCAUGCUUUAUAGUUGAUUAACAAUUGGAAGCCAUAACCUGUUUUAUAGGAUGGUGUUAGUGGGACAAUGAAUUUUGUAAAGAUUUAAAGACUGGAAAAGAUAAUUAAAAGUCAAAAGAGUUCUGCUAUUGUUAAGCAUGCUUUAUUGAUUUGUAAUGUUAGAAAGAUAGCAUUAUUAACAGAAUAAAAUGUCCAUAAUUUGAA